rnacentral:rRNA from 1 species
UACGUAGGGGGCUAGCGUUGUCCGGAAUUAUUGGGCGUAAAGCGCGCGCAGGCGGUCCUUUAAGUCUGAUGUGAAAGCCCACGGCUCAACCGUGGAGGGUCAUUGGAAACUGGGGGACUUGAGUACAGAAGAGAAGAGUGGAAUUCCACGUGUAGCGGUGAAAUGCGUAGAGAUGUGGAGGUACACCAGUGGCGAAGGCGACUCUUUGGUCUGUAACUGACGCUGAGGCGCGAAAGCGUGGGGAGCAAACAGG